AGUAAGGACUAAGGUUAACUGACUGUCUGUCUGUCUGUCUGCUCUCAACCAAACAGUCAUUCAAUACCUGUUAAAGUAAGGACUAAGGUUAACUGACUGUCUGUCUGUCUGCUCUCAACCAAACAGUCAUUCAAGACCUUUCAAAGUUUAGCACAAAAGUUUCCAGCACAAGUUUGGAUCUUUACCAUUGAGGGUGGCUGACUGUUCUCGACCAACCAUCAUUCACACGCAAAAACUUUAAAGAUAAGUAUGAACGUGCCCAGAGCAGUUUUCGAUCUUUACCAUUAAGGAGGCUGACUGACUAUCCUCUACCACCCGUCAUUAACACAACAAAAACUAAAGAAAUGUUACUCCAUAUGGACUUAUUCUUUACUCAUUAUGCUGUGAGUACACCACAGUUUUAUCAGUGAAAAAAUGUAUAUUUGUGUGUUUUCUCACUGCUUGGAAGGGAAAUGUGGCCCUGUUAAAAAUGUUUAAAUGUUGUUUGGUUUAAGGAACAGCACACUGAUUUUGUUUUAAAAUAUUCCUGUUUGGACAGUCUGUUAAAGCCAUAAAGAAAUACUUGAUAUAUUUCAUAAGUAAAGUGUAAAUGUAAUAUUAGUUUUUAAUGUUGUGACUGAACACAAUGUUGUGAAUGAUUUGGACUGAACAGCACACUUCUGUUUUAUAUCUGAACCUUUUGUAAAAUAAAUGAUUGUUCAUUAAACU